rnacentral:rRNA from 1 species
UACGGAAGGGGCUCGCGUUGUUCGGAAUUACUGGGCGUAAAGAGCGCGUAGGCGGCUUACCAAGUUGGGGGUGAAAUCCCGGAGCUCAACUCCGGAACUGCCUUCAAAACUGGUAGGCUCGAGUCCGGAAGAGGAGCGUGGAAUUCCAAGUGUAGAGGUGAAAUUCGUAGAUAUUGGGAAGAACACCGGUGGCGAAGGCGGCGCCCUGGUCCGGUACUGACGCUGAGGCGCGAAAGCGUGGGGAGCAAACAGG